rnacentral:rRNA from 1 species
GAAUUUUGGACAAUGGGGGCAACCCUGAUCCAGCCAUCCCGCGUGUGCGACGAAGGCCUUCGGGUUGUAAAGCACUUUUGGCAGGGAAGAAAAGGCUCUGGCUAAUACCUGGAGCUGCUGACGGUACCUGCGGAAUAAGCACCGGCUAACUACGUCCCAGCAGCCGCGGUAAUACGUGGGUUGCAAGCGUUAAUCGGAAUGACUGGGCGUAAAGCGUGCGCAGGCGGUUUGGCAAGAAGGAUGUGAAAUCCCAGGGCUUAACCUUGGAACUGCAUUCUUAACUGCCAGUCUAGAGUAUGUCAGAGGGGGGUAGAAUUCCGCGUGUAGCAGUGAAAUGCGUAGAGAUGCGGAGGAAUACCGAUGGCGAAGGCAGCCCCCUGGGAUAAUACUGACGCUCAUGCACGAAAGCGUGGGGAGCAAAC